UCAUCAGGAGGUUAGUCCUUACCUGUUCCUCCUCUCGGAGGGCAGUAGAACAUGAUGAUUGGGGCUUGUAUGAUCUGCUGAUUAGCAUUUCCGUAUAACCAGGACCUGACAACCACAAAAAAAAAAAAAAGAAUUGUGUACUCUGAC